rnacentral:rRNA from 1 species
GUGGGGAAUAUUGGACAAUGGGCGAAAGCCUGAUCCAGCCAUGCCGCGUGUGUGAAGAAGGUCUUCGGAUUGUAAAGCACUUUAAGUUGGGAGGAAGGGCAGUAAGUUAAUACCUUGCUGUUUUGACGUUACCGACAGAAUAAGCACCGGCUAACUUCGUGCCAGCAGCCGCGGUAAUACGAAGGGUGCAAGCGUUCAUCGGAAUUACUGGGCGUAAAGCGCGCGUAGGUGGUUUUGUAAGUUGGAGGUGAAAUCCCCGGGCUCAACCUGGGAACUGCCUCCAAAACUGCAUGACUAGAGUACGGUAGAGGGUAGUGGAAUUUCCUGUGUAGCGGUGAAAUGCGUAGAUAUAGGAAGGAACACCAGUGGCGAAGGCGACUACCUGGACUGAUACUGACACUGAGGUGCGAAAGCGUGGGGAGCAAACAGGAUUAGAUACCCGAGUAGUCC